AUAUUACUGCAGGAAACAGUAUCACUCACUAAAUGUCCAGUUGAUUAGUAAUGCAGAUAUGCAAAUCGUGAGUGUGGAUGCUAGUUUUGGUGGAGCUACUCAUGAUUCUUUUAUAUGGGCAAACCAUCCCAUAAAGGAUCACAUGGAGGUUAUUAGCAGAAAUGAAGCUAUAAUGGUUACUUGGUGAUUCCGGGUACCCACUGAGAAGGUACUUGAUGACACCAAUUACUAAUACUAGUCCGGACACUCCAGAUAUU